rnacentral:rRNA from 1 species
GACGAACGCUGGCGGCGCGCCUAAUACAUGCAAGUCGAGCGGGGAUCUUCGGAUCCUAGCGGCGAACGGGUGAGUAACACGUGGGCAACCUGCCCCUUAGCCUGGAAUAACUUCGGGAAACCGGAGCUAAAACCGGAUAAUCUUAUUACCUGCAUGGGUGAUGAGUAAAAAGCUUGCUACUAAGGGAUGGGCCCGCGACGCAUUAGCUAGUUGGAGAGGUAAUGGCUCCCCAAGGCGACGAUGCGUAGCCGACCUGAGAGGGUGACCGGCCACACUGGGACUGAGACGCGGCCCAGACUCCUACGGGAGGCAGCAGUAGGGAAUUUUCCGCAAUGGGCGCAAGCCUGACGGAGCAACGCCGCGUGAGUGAAGACGGCCUUCGGGUUGUAAAGCUCUGUUCUUUGGGAAGAAAACAAUGACGGUACCAAAGGAGAAAGCCCCGGCUAACUACGUGCCAGCAGCCGCGGUAAUGCGUAGGGGGCAAGCGUUGUCCGGAAUUAUUGGGCGUAAAGAGCACGUAGGCGGUUAGAUAAGUUGGAUGUGAAAGGCUACGGCUCAACCGUAGAGCGGCAUCCAAAACUGUUUAACUUGAGUGCAGCAGAGGAAAGUGGAAUUCCCGGUGUAGCGGUGGAAUGCGUAGAGAUCGGGAGGAACACCAGUGGCGAAGGCGACUUUCUGGGCUGUAACUGACGCUGAGGUGCGAAAGCGUGGGGAGCGAACAGGAUUAGAUACCCUGGUAGUCCACGCCGUAAACGAUGAGUGCUAGGUGUUGGAGGGUCCACCCUUCAGUGCCGAAGGAAACCCAGUAAGCACUCCGCCUGGGGAGUACGGCCGCAAGGCUGAAACUCAAAGGAAUUGACGGGGGCCCGCACAAGCGGUGGAGCAUGUGGUUUAAUUCGACGCAACGCGAAGAACCUUACCAGGGCUUGACAUCCCUCUGAAUUAGGUAGAGAUAUCUAAGGCCUUUCGGGGACAGAGGAGACAGGUGGUGCAUGGUUGUCGUCAGCCCGUGUCGUGAGAUGUUGGGUUCAGUCCCGCAACGAGCGCAACCCUUAUCUUUAGUUGCCAGCAGGUAGAGCUGGGCACUCUAGAGAGACAGCCGGUGAAAGCCGGAGGAAGGUGGGGAUGACGUCAAAUCAUCAUGCCCCUUAUGUCCUGGGCUACACACGUGCUACAAUGGCUACGAACAAAGGGAAGCGAAGCUGCGAAGUGGAGCCAAUCCCAUAAAAGUAGUCUCAGUUCGGAUCGCAGGCUGCAACUCGCCUGCGUGAAGUCGGAAUCGCUAGUAAUCGCGGAUCAGCAUGCCGCGGUGAAUACGUUCCCGGGCCU